GAGGAAUUUUGGUGUUUUUUCCUGUUAAUGCUGAGAUUGCCCCCAAAAUGGGGCUCCUGGGAUUGGGAUGGAAAUUCCAGGAGAUUCCAGGUGGGAAAAAAAACUUGGGAAGCUUCAGCUUUUGA